rnacentral:rRNA from 1 species
GCUGGCGGCGUGCUUAACACAUGCAAGUCGAGUGCGCGUUUCCGUAGCAAUACGGAGAUGGCGCACGGCGCACGGGUGCGUAACACGUGGGUAAUCUGCCCUCUGAUGGGGAAUAACUCGCCGAAAGGCGAGCUAAUUCCGCAUAACAUUCCUUGGACUCCGGUUCGAGGAUUCAAAGGCGUAAGUCGUCGGAGGUGGAGCCCGCGCACGAUUAGCUAGUUGGUGAGGUAAUGGCUCACCAAGGCUUUGAUCGUUAGCUGGUCUGAGAGGAUGGCCAGCCACACUGGAACUGAGACACGGUCCAGACUCCUACGGGAGGCAGCAGUGGGGAAUCUUGCACAAUGGGCGAAAGCCUGAUGCAGCGACGCCGCGUGGGGGAUGAAGCUUCUCGGAGUGUAAACCCCUUUCGACCGGGACGAAUACCUCGCAAGAGGGGUGACGGUACCGGUAUAAGAAGCCCCGGCUAACUACGUGCCAGCAGCCGCGGUAAGACGUAGGGGGCCAGCGUUGCUCGGAAUUACUGGGUGUAAAGGGUUCGUAG